AUUGAACGCUGGCGGCAGGCCUAACACAUGCAAGUCGAACGAGUGGCGGACGGGUGAGUAAUGUCUGGGCAACUGCCUGAUGGAGGGGGCUAACUACUGGAAACGGUAGCUACUACCGCAUACCAUACGAUGUGCCCAUAUGGGAUUAGCUAGUAGGUGUGGUAAAGGCUCACCUGGGCGACGAUCCCUAGCUGGUCUGAGAGGAUGACCUGCCACACGGGAACUGUGACACGGUCCAGAUUCCUCCGGGAGGCAGCAGUGGGGAAUAUUGCACAAUGGGCGAAAGCCGGAUGCAGCCAUGCCGCGUGGAUGAAGAAGGCCUUCGGGUUGUAAAGUACUUUCAGCGGGGAGGCGUUACCCGCAGAAGAAGAACCGGCUAACUCCGUGCCAGCAGCCGCGGUAAUAC
rnacentral:rRNA from 1 species